rnacentral:rRNA from 1 species
GAUGAACGCUGGCGGCGUGCCUAAUACAUGCAAGUAGAACGCCGUUGCGAACGGGUGAGUAACGCGUAGGUAACUGCCUCAUAGCGGGGGAUUAAUUUUGGAAACGAUAGCUAAUACCGCAUACUGUGAGAUGGACCUGCGUUGUAUUAGCUAGUUGGUGAGGGAAAGGCUCACCAAGGCGACGAUACAUACCCGACCUGGGAAGGUGGUCCACCACACUUGGAAUGGGGAACGGGCCAGAAUUCUACGGGGGGGAACAGUAGGGAAACAUCGGCCAAGGAGGGAAGUCUGACCGAGGAACGCCGGGGGGGUGGAGAAGGGUUUCCGAUCGUAAAGCUCUGUUGAUAGAGGAGCGGUAACUAACCAGAAAGGGACGGCUAACUACGUGCCAGCAGCCGCGGUAAUUC